CAACAAGGCCAUGGGCCCCCCGGCGCCCCGGCGCUGGAGGGUACCGGCCUGACUUACACACCCACCCUUUGCCUAUGUGUACCCCUAUCGCUUCCUCGGCAGGCCCGCCUGCCGCCAGGAACCACGUAAACCCUUUGCAUCAUACAUCAACUCUGAUACCAACCAAAAACUAUUA
rnacentral:misc_RNA from 1 species